CCUACGGGGGACAGCAGUGGGGAAUAUUGCGCAAUGGGCGAAAGCCUGACGCAGCGACGCCGCGUGAGUGAUGAAGGUCUUCGGAUCGUAAACCUCUUUCGGCAGGGAAGAACGGACACUGUUCUAAUGAGCAGUGAAUUGACGGUAACUGCAAAGGAAGCACCGGCUAACUCCGUGCCAGCAGCCGCGGUAAUACGGAGGGUGCGAGCGUUAAUCGGAAUUACUGGGCGUAAAGCGCACGCAGGCGGUAGGUCAAGUUAAGUGUGAACGCCCCGGGCUAAACGUGGGAACUGCAUUUGAAACUGGCAAACUAGAGUGGGUGAGAGGAGAGUAGAAUUCCAGGUGUAGGAGUGAAAUCCGUAGAGAUCUGGAGGAACAUCAGUGGCGAAGGCGACUCUCUGGCA
rnacentral:rRNA from 1 species